rnacentral:rRNA from 1 species
AUAACGGUCCUAAGGUAGCGAAAUUCCUUGUCAGGUAAGUUCUGACCCGCACGAAUGGCGUAAUGAUUUGGGCACUGUCUCAACAGCCCGCCCGGCGAAAUUGUAGUACUGGUGAAGAUGCCAGUUACCCGCAACUAGACGGAAAGACCCCAUGGAGCUUUACUGCAGCUUAAUACUGAAAUUCGGUAGUACAUGUACAGGAUAGGUGGGAGACUGAGAAAUACAGGCGUCAGCUUGUAUGGAGUCGCUGUUGGGAUACCACUCUUGUACUGCUGGGUUUCUAACCUGCGGCCGUGAAUCCGGUCGGGGGACACUGUUAGGCGGGCAGUUUGACUGGGGCGGUCGCCUCCAAAAGAGUAACGGAGGCGCUCAAAGGUUCGUUCAGCACGGACGGAAAUCGUGCAUUGAGUGUAAACGCAUAAACGAGCCUAACUGCGAGACCGACGGGUCGAGCAGUAACGAAAGUUGGAGUUAGUGAUCCGGUGGUAUGUGAGUGGAAAUGCCAUCGCUCAACGGAUAAAAGCUACCCUGGGGAUAACAGGCUGAUCUCCCCCAAGAGUCCACAUCGACGGGGAGGUUUGGCACCUCGAUGUCGGCUCAUCACAUCCUGGGGCUGUAUUCGGUCCCAAGGGUUCGGCUGUUCGCCGAUUAAAGUGGCACGCGAGCUGGGUUCAGAACGUCGUGAGACAGUUCGGUCCCUAUCUGUUGCGGGCGCAGGAGAUUUGAAGGGAGCUGUCCUUAGUACGAGAGGACCGGGAUGGACAGACCUCUGGUGCACCAGUUGUCGUGCCAACGGCACAGCUGGGUAGCUACGUCUGGACGAGAUAAACGCUGAAAGCAUCUAAGUGUGAAACUCCCCCUAAGAUAAGAUCUCCCAUCCUUUAUGGAGUAAGGGACGACAAAGACUAUGUCGUUGAUAGGUCGGAAGUGUAAGUGCAGUAAUGCAUUGAGCUGACCGAUACUAAUAACCCGAGGGCUUGACCUA